GCUGGGUGUGGUGGUGCACACCUGUAAUCCCAGCCACUCUGGAGGCUGAAGAAGGCAGAUCCCAAGUUCAA
rnacentral:sRNA from 1 species